rnacentral:piRNA from 1 species
UCGGACUCCUCUUUCUACCUGUCCAUGCCU